GUAUAUCCGAGGAAGAGAUAAGUACGAAUCGAUUGCCUUGCACAGAGAGCCGGAGUAGCUGCAAACCGGUCUUGGCAUGUUUCCGAAAAUGGUCUUGGAGGAUCCGCUUUUGAGCGCUGCAGUUCAUGUGAUGACUGCCGUAAAGGAGCGGCGUAUGCCAGCGUUAAUGGACGCCGUUUAACGGCAGAUGAGCCUGUUAUCCGUAAGGAUACAGGGAAUUUGGGUGGUAACACGUGAGCAUAACUCUCGUCCCAUAG
rnacentral:ncRNA from 1 species